CGUGGACCCAUGGGACCCUAGUGAAAUAAAAAGAUGAGGAGAGUCAGGACACAAGAUGACAAGCACAACGAGUGGUGUACUUACACUUGAGCCAGGAGGUCCAGGGGGUCCUCGGGGUCCCAUAGGGCCCUAUAUAUAUCAUACAAAAACAGGUGACAAAAGUGAUAGAAGACAUCUCCAAAGGAUGCAAGAUACAAAGGAACAUGUUUGGAUAUGUCACGGGCAGCAAAGAGGCCAUCUUACUGAGAACUUCCUAAAACUCCAAUUGAUACUGCUACGCCAAGUACCUAAGAGACCUGUUCCGUCAGAUUUUCCUAUAUCAUCUGCAGUAUUACUCAAACCUAGGCUUCUCUGGCCUCCUACUAAGGCCCUACACGACGUGCCUUAGUGCUGAGCUCAGAGAGUGCAGUCGGCUUGGCAGCAGGGCCUGGAAACACUCCGCAUGUGUUUGCCAUUAGGAACAGCA